GGCAAAAGCAAGUGAAGAAAAACGUCCAGGAAUCCUAACAGAAGAACAGAAAUAGCGCGAAAGGAGCCACGGACAACACGCAAACAACAGAAGUGCCUGUGCUCCAACAAAACUUUAUUUUCAAAAGCAAGUGAUGGGCCAGAUAUGCCUCAGGGGCUGCAGUUUGUUAACACCUGUUUUAAAAGCUUUUAAGCAGUACCAGAUGUUGAAUGAAAAGAAACUUUCUCUGAUUGGUGUCCAGAGAAAACAAAAAGCAUGUAUCACUUCAAGCCUGACCUGCACAAGGGAAAAAUGGACCAAACAAAGGGAGCCAGGAUUAAACACACUGCAGAUGGUACAAAAGGAAACUUCUAAAGUAGUCAUUUUUUUUUUACCCCUCGUGCCUCCAUUGUUCUUCUUCAUACCUGAUUAUAAAGAGUUGAUUUCUGUUAAGGAGAAAAGAUAGAGUAGGAAACAGAAAGCCACAAGAAAAGAAUUUUAUUUGACACUC